rnacentral:rRNA from 1 species
GGUCAAAGAUGGGCUACAUUUUCUAUUAUAGAAUAGACAAACGGAUACCACUCUGAAAUGGGUGGUUGAAGGCGGAUUUAGUAGUAAACUAAGAAUAGAGAGCUUAAUUGAACAAGGCCAUGAAGCGCGUACACACCGCCCGUCACUCUCCUCAAGUACCUCCACAUC